rnacentral:lncRNA from 1 species
GGUGGUAUAACCACUUGUUGAACUUAUCUAAUACAUCAGAAUCUACAUUUUCACCUAUAAGAGUUGUGAAGGGGUGCUUGAGGUAGAAAAAUUUAGGUCAAGUAGGGCUGCUGCCUCCAGAACUAUAUAGAGGUAUGAAAGGUGAUCGGGCGUGUUUCUCCAGUUGCCUGGUUCUCCAUGAAUUAAUAGGAGUUGCUUCAUCUGGUAUGGGCUCACCAUAGGUAACCAAUUAUGUUAAGCUGUCUGGCAAAUCAAAGUCAUCCAAUGUCACACCCUUCUUAUCAAUGCCCGAUCCUUCAGAAACAACUUUAUACAUUUGAUGUGCAUCUUCACCUUCAUUUAGCUAUUUCUCA